UACGUAGGUGGCAAGCGUUGUCCGGAAUUAUUGGGCGUAAAGCGCGCGCAGGCGGUUAUUUAAGGCUGAUGUGAAAGCCCACGGCUCAACCGUGGAGGGUCAUUGGAAACUGGAGAACUUGAGUACAGAAGAGGAAAGCGGAAUUCCACGUGUAGCGGUGAAAUGCGUAGAGAUGUGGAGGAACACCAGUGGCGAAGGCGGCUUUCUGGUCUGUAACUGACGCUGAGGUGCGAAAGCGUGGGGAGCAAACAGG
rnacentral:rRNA from 1 species